rnacentral:ncRNA from 15 species
CAAAUGUUAUAAUGAUAAGGUUGCAUCCAGUCGGAUGUGCAAAAGAGAAUCCGGUGAGAAUCCGGAACGAUACCGUCACUGUGAAAGGGGAGUUGCUUUUAUAACCACUGGGAGACCGGGAAGGGAAAGCAGCGUGGAACCAAGUCAGGAGAACUGCCUUAUUGUGAGAUUCAGGG